GGGAGUAUGUGCGUUAAAGAAGGAUUGUACUGAACUGCGCCAUGAUGUAUCCAAAUCUGAUGUUUACACGAUACGUACAGUCAAAUCUGUGGUCAAAGUUUACUGUGAUAUGACUACAGAUGGCGGAGGAUGGACUAUAAUCCAGAGAAGAUUAGAUGGAUCUGUUAAUUUCCAGAAAACUUGGACAGAUUACGAGAAUGGAUUUGGAAAUGUUGAUGGAGAAUACUGGCUA